CAGGUUUAUUAGCAAUUUGCUGGUUUCCAAAUGCUUACGCCGGUGAAGUCACAGUUUUGAUCGGAAUCCGUCUUCCUAAUCUCGGGAAAAUGCCAAGAGGGAAACUGUAAGAUUGCAGUAUCAGUGCUGGAAGAUGCAACUUGUUGUUUGAAUCUGGAAAUCAUGAUUUUCAUGGCUUUAACCUCCACUCCUUGAAAGAAAAAGGUGACCGAGUAAGUCGCAAUGCUUGUACAUUAUUUUUACAUGGAACGUGUCACGUGGGACGUGUUACGUGGAACGUGGCAGACGUCUCACCCGAUCACCCGGCUUGUAAAGAUAAACUGUGGUGUAUAAACUGAUGUUACCAAUAGUUGCCUUGUCGAUGUGGGAGAGAGGCAGAAUGUAAUAGAACAAGUGGUUGUCAAAGAACAUGAAAAAUGUUCAGUCACAUUUUUAUACUGUUCACUAAUGCU